GACGAACGCUGGCGGCGUGCUUAACACAUGCGAGUCGAACGGAAAGGCCCUGCUUUUGUGGGGUGCUCGAGUGGCGAACGGGUGAGUAACACGUGAGUAACCUGCCCUGGACUUUGGGAUAACUUCAGGAAACUGGGGCUAAUACCGGAUAGGAGCUCCUGCUGCAUGGUGGGGGUGGGAAAGUUUCGGCGGUUGGGGAUGGACUCGCGGCUUAUCAGCUUGUUGGUGGGGUAGUGGCUUACCAGGGCUUUGACGGGUAGCCGGCCUGAGAGGGUGACCGGCCACAUUGGGACUGGGAUACGGCCCAGACUCCUACGGGAGGCAGCAGUGGGGAAUAUUGCACAAUGGGCGGAAGCCUGAUGCAGCAACGCCGCGUGCGGGAUGACGGCCUUCGGGUUGUAAACCGCUUUCGCCUGUGACGAAGCGUGAGUGACGGUAAUGGGUAAAGAAGCACCGGCUAACUACGUG
rnacentral:rRNA from 1 species